rnacentral:rRNA from 1 species
UACGUAGGGGGGCAAGCGUUGUCCGGAUUUAUUGGGCGUAAAGAGCGUGUAGGCGGUUUGGUAGGUCCGCUGUGAAAACUCGAGGCUCAACCUCGAGACGCCGGUGGAAACCAUCAGACUAGAGUCCGGAAGAGGAGAGUGGAAUUCCUGGUGUAGCGGUGAAAUGCGCAGAUAUCAGGAGGAACACCGAUGGCGAAGGCAGGUCUCUGGGCCAUUACUGACACUGAGAAGCGAAAGCAUGGGGAGCGAACAGG